rnacentral:rRNA from 1 species
UGGGAGGUAAAUUUCUCCUAAGGCUAAAUAACGGCGAGAGACCGAUAGCGAACAAGUACCGUGAGGGAAAGAUGAAAAGAACUUUGAAAAGAGAGUUAAACAGUACGUGAAAUUGUUGAAAGGGAAACGAUUGAAGCCAGUCGUACCUUCGGGUAAUCAGCCUUUCGGGUGCGACUCUGUGAGGUGUGAGGAGUUAAACGCCUUCAUGUUUUGCAUAAUUCGUGCUCUUGGGUGUACUUGCCCGUGUGGUUGGUUAACAUCAAUUUUGGACGCCAUAAAAUGACUGGAGGAAUGUAGCUUCGAUCUCGUAUUGAAGUGUUAUAGCCUUCGGUAGAUGUGGUUUUCGAGAUUGAGGAUUGCAACGGAUACCCUUCGGGGCUACCUAUCUGAUCUCUGAUCGUUGCUCUGGUGCCGAAAGCUUGCUUACGGUUAUUAAAGUCGAUGGUUAAUAGGUUAGAAUAGGUUAAAUUCGUUAAGGAUGUUGACGUAAUGGCUUUAAACGACCCGUCUUGAAACACGGACCGAGGAGUCUAACAUAUAUGCGAGUGUUAGGGUGAUUAAACCCUUACGCGUAAUGAAAGUAAUUUUGGUGGGAUCACUUUUGUGCACCAUCGACC